rnacentral:misc_RNA from 1 species
GAAAUGCGAUAAGUAGUGUGAAUUGCAGAAUUCAGUGAAUCAUCGAAUCUUUGAACGCACAUUGCGCCCUUUGGUAUUCCUUAGGGCAUGCCUGUUCGAGCGUCAUCUAAACCUUCAAGCCCUGCUUGGUGUUGGGUGCCGUCCCACCUCCGCGCGCGGACUCACCUCAAAUCCAUUGGCGGCCCCCGCGUCGGCCACGAGCGCAGCAGAAACGCGAACUCGUGAGCCCGUCCGGGCGGCUCCCAGAAGCUACACCCACCCAGUUUGACCUCGGAUCAGGUAGGGAUACCCGCUGAACUUAAGC